AAUAUUGCACAAUGGGCGCAAGCCUGAUGCAGCCAUGCCGCGUGUGUGAAGAAGGCCUUCGGGUUGUAAAGCACUUUCAGUCAGGAGGAAAGGUUAGUGGUUAAUACCYGUUAUCUGUGACGUUACUGACAGAAGAAGCACCGGCUAACUCCGUGCCAGCAGCCGCGGUAAUACGGAGGGUGCGAGCGUUAAUCGGAAUUACUGGGCGUAAAGCGUACGCAGGCGGUUUGUUAAGCGAGAUGUGAAAGCCCCGGGCUCAACCUGGGAACUGCAUUUCGAACUGGCAAACUAGAGUGUGAUAGAGGGUGGUAGAAUUUCAGGUGUAGCGGUGAAAUGCGUAGAGAUCUGAAGGAAUACCGAUGGCGAAGGCAGCCACCUGGGUCAACACUGACGCUCAUGUACGAAAGCGUGGGGAGCAAACGGGAUUAGAUACCCCGGUAGUCCACGCCGUAAACGAUGUCUACUAGAAGCUCGGAGCCUCGGUUCUGUUUUUCAAAGCUAACGCAUUAAGUAGACCGCCUGGGGAGUACSGCCGCAAGGUUAAAACUCAAAUGAAUUGACGGGGGCCCGCACAAGCGGUGGAGCAUGUGGUUUAAUUCGAUGCAACGCGAAGAACCUUACCUACACUUGACAUACAGAGAACUUACCAGAGAUGGUUUGGUGCCUUCGGGAACUCUGAUACAGGUGCUGCAUGGCUGUCGUCAGCUCGUGUUGUGAGAUGUUGGGUUAAGUCCCGCAACGAGCGCAACCCCUAUYCUUAGUUGCUAGCAGGUAAUGCUGAGAACUCUAA
rnacentral:rRNA from 1 species